rnacentral:pre_miRNA from 1 species
UACUCCUUGCUCUGCUGCAUCGUAAUGCAUCUGCAUCUGCACCUGCACCACGUUGUGAUAGGAACAAAACUCUGUCUUGCUGAUUCCCUGCACACAUGCCUUUGUUACCCAGCAUUCUCGAAUACGGCGUCGGUGCUAUCCUCAGAUAAGUAGAGUUGUCCUCACUAGGUUGGUGAGGUGCAUAUGCAGAGGCGUUACAUUGCAGCUGCUUAAUAUUG